UACGUAGGGUGCAAGCGUUGUCCGGAAUUAUUGGGCGUAAAGAGCUCGUAGGCGGUUUGUCGCGUCUGCUGUGAAAACGCGAGGCUCAACCUCGCGCCUGCAGUGGGUACGGGCAGACUAGAGUGCGGUAGGGGAGAUUGGAAUUCCUGGUGUAGCGGUGGAAUGCGCAGAUAUCAGGAGGAACACCCGUGGCGAAGGCGGUCUCGUGGCGUAGU
rnacentral:rRNA from 1 species